AGGAAUAUUGGUCAAUGGACGAGAGUCUGAACCAGCCAAGUAGCGUGAAGGAUGACUGCCCUAUGGGUUGUAAACUUCUUUUAUACGGGAAUAAAGUGGAGUAUGCAUACUCCUUUGUAUGUACCGUAUGAAUAAGGAUCGGCUAACUCCGUGCCAGCAGCCGCGGUAAUACGGAGGAUCCGAGCGUUAUCCGGAUUUAUUGGGUUUAAAGGGAGCGUAGAUGGGUUGUUAAGUCAGUUGUGAAAGUUUGCGGCUCAACCGUAAAAUUGCAAUUGAUACUGGCAGUCUUGAGUACAGUUGAGGUAGGCGGAAUUCGUGGUGUAGCGGUGAAAUGCUUAGAUAUCACGAAGAACUCCGAUUGCGAAGGCAGCUUACUAACCUGUAACUGACAUUGAUGCUCGAAAGUGUGGGUAUCAAACAGGAUUAGAUACCCUGGUAGUCCACACGGUAAACGAUGAAUACUCGCUGUAGGCGAUAUACAGUCUGCGGCCAAGCGAAAGCAUUAAGUAUUCCACCUGGGGAGUACGCCGGCAACGGUGAAACUCAAAGGAAUUGACGGGGGCCCGCGCAAGCGGAGGAACAUGUGGUUUAAUUCGAUGAUACGCGAGGAACCUUACCCGGGCUUAAAUUGCAACCGAAUAUGGCGGAAACGCUAUAGCUAGCAAUAGCGGUUGUGAAGGUGCUGCAUGGUUGUCGUCAGCUCGUGCCGUGAGGUGUCGGCUUAAGUGCCAUAACGAGCGCAACCCUUGCCGAUAGUUACUAACAGGUUAUGCUGAGGACUCUGUCGGGACUGCCAUCGUAAGAUGUGAGGAAGGUGGGGAUGACGUCAAAUCAGCACGGCCCUUACGUCCGGGGCUACACACGUGUUACAAUGGGGGGUACAGAGGGCUGCUACCACGCAAGUGGAUGCCAAUCCCAAAAACCUCUCUCAGUUCGGAUUGAAGUCUGCAACCCGACUUCAUGAAGCUGGAUUCGCUAGUAAUCGCGCAUCAGCCACGGCGCGGUGAAUACGUUCCCG
rnacentral:rRNA from 1 species